AUUGAACGCUGGCGGAAUGCUUUACACAUGCAAGUCGAACGGCAGCACGGACUUCGGUCUGGUGGCGAGUGGCGAACGGGUGAGUAAUACAUCGGAACGUGCCCAGUCGUGGGGGAUAACGUAGCGAAAGCUACGCUAAUACCGCAUACGAUCUAAGGAUGAAAGCGGGGGAUCGCAAGACCUCGCGCGAUUGGAGCGGCCGAUGGCAGAUUAGGUAGUUGGUGGGGUAAAGGCUCACCAAGCCGACGAUCUGUAGCUGGUCUGAGAGGACGACCAGCCACACAGGGACUGAGGCACGGCCCAGACUCCUACGGGAGGCAGCAGUGGGGAAUUUUGGACAAUGGGCGCAAGCCUGAUCCAGCCAUUCCGCGUGCAGGAUGAAGGCCCUCGGGUUGUAAACUGCUUUUAUACGGAACGAAAAGGCUCUGGUUAAUACCUGGGGCUCAUGACGGUACCGUAAGAAUAAGCACCGGCUAACUACGUGCCAGCCGCCGCGGUAA
rnacentral:rRNA from 1 species